rnacentral:rRNA from 1 species
UACGUAGGGUGCGAGCGUUGUCCGGAAUUAUUGGGCGUAAAGAGCUUGUAGGCGGCUUGUCGCGUCUGCUGUGAAAAUCCGAGGCUCAACCUCGGACUUGCAGUGGGUACGGGCAGGCUAGAGUGUGGUAGGGGAGACUGGAAUUCCUGGUGUAGCGGUGGAAUGCGCAGAUAUCAGGAGGAACACCGGUGGCGAAGGCGGAUCUCUGGGCCAUUACUGACGCUGAGGAGCGAAAAGCGUGGGGGAGCG